AACGACCUUCUUCAGGGAAUCAAAUUACAGACUGAACCAGCUUUCAGCUUGCUUUCAUUUAUUUAAGUUUCCCACAUUUAGUAUUCCUAAUUUCACAUGGAGACUAAACUUCCAACAGAAAUCUUCAGUUCUUUUGAAAAAGGCUAAAGACUGGAACAAGCUUCAGCAGUUGAUCAGAGCUCAGGAACAAACUGGACUUAAUUCAGGACAAUCUGCAAUGAAGAAGAAACUGGAGACCAGGAGGAUUUCUGUAAUUUUGUGGGGUGUUUGCUGAACAAGAUUCAUCGUUUGUGCUCUCCUUCAGCUGAACAGCUUCCUGUGCAGUGUUUGGACGACACAAUGGGAUUAAACGCCAUGAUCGUCUACGGAGAUCAGGAAUUCCUGAUGUUGCUGCAAGAGAGACAGCAACCGAGAUGGAGCGAGAGAGCGAAUGAGGGCCUCUUGCAGGGGCCAACGCCUUGGAAUUUGAACACACAACCUUCCUAUCCUUAGACCAAGAUGGAAGAUAAGGAUGAAGGCAACAAUGGAGAUCUUAAAUGUGUUUUAGGGGCCCCAUUCAUACUUCAUCAUUCAUAUUCAUACUUUUCAGUAGGCCCAGAUUUCUAAAAAUCCUUUCUUUGUAUUGGUCUUAAGUAAUAUUCUAAUUUUCUGAGAUACUGAAUGUGGGAUUUUCCUUAGUUGUCAGUUAUAAUCAUCAAAAUUAAAAGAAAUAAACAUCUGAAAUAUA